UACGUAGGGAGCAAGCGUUGUCCGGAAUUAUUGGGCGUAAAGAGCUCGUAGGCGGUUUGUCGCGUCGAAUGUGAAAACCCGGGGCUCAACCCCGGGCCUGCAUUCGAUACGGGCAGACUAGAGUUCGGUAGGGGAGUCUGGAAUUCCUGGUGUAGCGGUGAAAUGCGUAGAUAUCGGGAGGAACACCAGUGGCGAAGGCGACUUCCUGGCCUGUUCUUGACGCUGAGGCGCGAAAGCUAGGGUAGCAAACGGG
rnacentral:rRNA from 1 species